UACGUAGGGGGCUAGCGUUGUCCGGAUUUAUUGGGCGUAAAGAGCGUGUAGGCGGCCAUGUAGGUCCGGUGUGAAAACUCAAGGCUUAACCUCGAGAUGUCAUCGGAAACCAUUUGGCUAGAGUCCGGAAGAGGAGAGUGGAAUUCCUGGUGUAGCGGUGAAAUGCGCAGAUAUCAGGAAGAACACCAAUGGCGAAAGCAGCUCUCUGGGACGGUACUGACGCUGAGGAGUGAAAGCGUGGGGAGCAAACAGG
rnacentral:rRNA from 1 species